AAAUUACUAUUGGAUAAGCUGCCUAGUUCUGGACAUCCUCAGGAGAAUCAAUCUCAUGUCUCUUGAUAACCAUGGUAUACUUGCAGUCUUCCUAUAUCCAGUAGUUAACCAAACAAAAAACUGAAUAAAAACAUGCUAUAAGGAUGCCCAUAAGAAGAUGCACCAACAUGAAAGUACAAUAACCACCAGCUCAUGCCAAACUCAAACAAGUUUGAGAUCACGAAACUUAAAAACUUGAGUCAUAUAAAGGUCAAAUAUAAGAGAGCAGCAAAAAAUAGAAGUCAAAAUUUCCAGAAAACUAAAUGUAAAUGUAAAAUUAUACCUGAUGUUAGAGGUAUCCAGU
rnacentral:misc_RNA from 1 species